rnacentral:tRNA from 1 species
GCCUGGGUGGCUCAGUCAGUUGAGCAUCUGACUCUUAAUUUUGGCUCAGGUCAUGAUCUCAUGGUUUGUGGGAUCAAGCCCAGCCCUGGGCU